CUUAGAGGUUAAGCCCGAUGAACCUGAAUAUCCAUUAUGAAAAAUUCAUCAUUAUACCUGUGAUAUUAAUUUAUUAAUAUUAUAUGGAUAGUGUGCAUUUUUUUCAUAUAAGGACAUUGUGAUCUAUUAACAUAAAAAAUAUUUAUCAAAAGAUCAUUGGUGUUAAGUUUAUUUUAAUUAAUUUGCCUUUAGAGCAUAUUAAAAUGAAAUAAAUGCAAAUGAUUUGAUAAAGUGUUAAUAGAUUUAUUAUAUAUAAUGCUUAAAUCUCCAUAAGAUUUUACAAUAAUAUUAAAAUCUAUGAUUUUAUAUAUUUAUUGUAUGCAUU
rnacentral:rRNA from 1 species